UUCCAUGUAAUAAAACUGAUCUGUUUUACCUUUUGUGAGCUGCCUCUUAUCGGAUAAGAAACCUCUCUUGGUCAGCUGUGAAAAGUAACUGAUCUCAUUCUCUUCGUUUUAUUAUGUGAACAUUUUUACAGGUGACAUUUGAUUGAAAUGAACCCCCGAGGGCAAUGGGAAAUGAAGUGAAUGAGAUGUCAACAAAGAUGACAUGAGCUCCUUGAAGACUGGGUCUAGGUUGUGAAAUUCUUCAAUUUGUCUUAUUCCAACUAACACAGGCCUGGAUCCCAUUGGCAGGAAUUCUGACUUGCUAGUCGUAGACUUGCUAAUAGCAGAAUGAUUUUCCCAGCUCAGAAGAGAAUGCGAUGUUCAGAGAGAUGAUUGCCACUGAAAGAAAAUUGAGUAUGAUUAGGAACCGGUUCUUGGAACAAAAUCCCUUCAUUCUUUAAAAUCUUCCAGCCAGGGUGGUCCUUUCAUUGUCAACAAAGAGCUUCAAUA